UCCUACGGGUGGCUGCAGUGGGGAAUUUUGGACAAUGGGCGCAAGCCUGAUCCAGCCAUGCCGCGUGCGGGAAGAAGGCCUUCGGGUUGUAAACCGCUUUUGUCAGGGAAGAAAUCCCUUGGGCUAAUACCCCGGGGGGAUGACGGUACCUGGAGAAUAAGCACCGGCUAACUACGUGCCAGCAGCCGCGGUAAUACGUAGGGUGCAAGCGUUAAUCGGAAUUACUGGGCGUAAAGCGUGCGCAGGCGGUUGUGCAAGACAGAUGUGAAAUCGCCGGGCUUAACCUGGGAAGUGCAUUUGUGACUGCACGGCUGGAGUGCGGCAGAGGGGGAUGGAAUUCCGCGUGUAGCAGUGAAAUGCGUAGAUAUGCGGAGGAACACCGAUGGCGAAGGCAAUCCCCUGGGCCUGCACUGACGCUCAUGCACGAAAGCGUGGGGAGCAAACAGGAUUAGAUACCCUGGUAGUCAAA
rnacentral:rRNA from 1 species